GAUGAAGAACGUAGCGAAAUGCGAUAAGUAAUGUGAAUUGCAGAAUUCAGUGAAUCAUCGAAUCUUUGAACGCACAUUGCGCCCCUUGGUAUUCCGAGGGGCAUGCCUAUUCGAGCGUCAUUAUCACCCCUCAAGCCUAGCUUGGUGUUGAGGCCUGCUGUCAAGGCAGCCUCUAAAAUCAGUGGCAGUGCUGUCAGGCUCUAAGCGUAGUAAAUCUAAUCGCUAUAGACACCUGGUGGACACUCGCCAGAACCCCCCCAUUUUUUAAUGAUCGACCUCGGAUUAGGUAGGGAUACCCGCUGAACUUAAGCAUAUCAAUAAGCGGAGGA
rnacentral:misc_RNA from 1 species